rnacentral:rRNA from 1 species
UACGUAGGGGGCAAGCGUUGUCCGGAUUUAUUGGGCGUAAAGAGCGUGUAGGCGGCCAAACAGGUCAGCUGUGAAAACUCGAGGCUCAACCUCGAGACGCCGGUGGAAACCAUCAGACUAGAGUCCGGAAGAGGAGAGCGGAAUUCCUGGUGUAGCGGUGAAAUGCGCAGAUAUCAGGAAGAACACCCGUGGCUAAGGCGGCUCUCUAGUACGGUACUGACGCUGAGACGCGAAAGCGUGGGGAGCGAACAGG